GGCCUUCAGUGUGUGACAGGUUAGUACAGUGGUGAACCUAUAGGCCUUCAGUGUGUGACAGGUUAGUAUAGUGGUGAACCUAUAGGUCUUCAGUGUGUGACAGGUUAGUAUAGUGGUGAACCUAUAGGUCUUCAGUGUGUGACAGGUUAGUACAGUGGUGAACCUAUAGGUCUUCAGUGUGUGACAGGUUAGUAUAGUGGUGAACCUAUAGGUCUUCAGUGUGUGACAGGUUAGUACAGUGGUGAACCUAUAGGUCUUCAGUGUGUGACAGGUUAGUACAGUGGUGAACCUAUAGGUCUUCAGUGUGUGACAGGUUAGUACAGUGGUGAACCUAUAGGUCUUCAGUGUGUGACAGGUUAGUAUAGUGGUGAACCUAUAGGUCUUCAGUGUGUGACAGGUUAGUAUAGUGGUGAACCUAUAGGUCUUCAGUGUGUGACAGGUUAGUACAGUGGUGAACCUAUAGGUCUUCAGUGUGUGACAGGUUAGUAUAGUGGUGAACCUAUAGGUCUUCAGUGUGUGACAGGUUAGUACAGUGGUGAACCUAUAGGUCUUCAGUGUGUGACAGGUUAGUAUAGUGGUGAACCUAUAGGUCUUCAGUGUGUGACAGGUUAGUACAGUGGUGAACCUAUAGGUCUUCAGUGUGUGACAGGUUAGUACAGUGGUGAACCUAUAGGUCUUCAGUGUGUGACAGGUUAGUACAGUGGUGAACCUAU